GGGCGAAUGGUCUAGGGGUAUGAUACUCCCUUCGCAUCUCUGACUCUAGAGAACAAAUGCUUGGGAGGGGUCCGGGGUUCAAUUCCCCGUUCGUCCA